rnacentral:rRNA from 1 species
ACUCAAAUGAAUAGACGGGGGCCUGCACAAGCGGUGGAGUAUGUGGCUUAAUUCGAUGCAACGCGAAGAACCUUACCUGGCCUUGACAUGCAUGUGGUAGAACCAUGAAAGUGGGACGAUCCCGCAAGGGAAGCAUGCACAGGUGCUGCAUGGCUGUCGUCAGCUCGUGUCGUGAGAUGUUGGGUUAAGUCCCGCAACGAGCGCAACCCUUGUGUCCUGUUGCCACUCCUUCGAGAGAAGGAAGCACUCUGGACAGACUGCCUCGCUUAAACGAGGAGGAAGGUGGGGAUGACGUCAAGUCAGUAUGGCCCUUACGGCCAGGGCUGCACACGUACUACAAUGCAUGGCACAAAGGGAAGCUAGACCGUCAGGUGGAGCAAAUCCCAUAAAACCAUGCCCAGUUCAGAUUGUCGUCUGCAACUCGACGACAUGAAGCCGGAAUCGCUAGUAAUGGCGCAUCAGCUACGGCGCCGUGAAUACGUUCCCAGGCCUUGUACACACCGCCCGU